rnacentral:rRNA from 1 species
UACGUAGGGUGCAAGCGUUAAUCGGAAUUACUGGGCGUAAAGCGUGCGCAGGCGGUUUUGUAAGUCUGUCGUGAAAUCCCCGGGCUCAACCUGGGAAUUGCGAUGGAGACUGCAAGGCUAGAAUCUGGCAGAGGGGGGUAGAAUUCCACGUGUAGCAGUGAAAUGCGUAGAGAUGCGGAGGAACACCGAUGGCGAAGGCAGCCCCCCUGGGCUGACACUGACGCUCAG